rnacentral:rRNA from 1 species
UACGAAGGGGGCUAGCGUUGUUCGGAAUCACUGGGCGUAAAGCGCACGUAGGCGGAUCUUUAAGUCAGAGGUGAAAUCCCAAGGCUCAACCUUGGAACUGCCUUUGAUACUGGGGAUCUUGAGUCCGGGAGAGGUGAGUGGAACUGCGAGUGUAGAGGUGAAAUUCGUAGAUAUUGGGAAGAACACCGGUGGCGAAGGCGGCUCACUGGCUCGUAUCUGACGCUCAGGCGCGACAGCGUGGGGAUCAAACAGG